AUUUAAGCAGGCGUAGAGCCAGCUUUGGGAAGGUUCGUCUGGUCAACAGGUCACCUGACUUCCGGCUGUCGCGGAGAUUAUCACCGCUGUGCGUGAAACUAGCUCUCACACCAAGACUGCUGUGGGAAACUCCCGUGUUGUGCUGCCUCUCGCGCCGAGCCGACUUCCGUGUGUGGCUUCCGUGUGUGGCAAACCCCCGUCAUCCG